rnacentral:lncRNA from 1 species
GGAACGCGAUCCCAACUUUGCAGCCACACUGAACCCUUGGGUGUUCCGGCCGCCAGCCCCCGGCCGCUCGGCCUCCCGAGACCCAGCCCCUCGGCAGCCGCCUCCCGCACGCCUUCCCCAUCCUCGGCCCGAGCCCCGCUUGCGCCCGUGCGGCUCGGGCGCGCCAUCGGCCCCGACGCUCUGUCGGUCUGCCUGUCUGUCAGUCCGUCUCUAGCUCCCCCGGCCUUGGCCUCAGUUCUUCCAGCGGCCCCAAGCUCCGUUUCGGUCACUCCCUCUCUCCCUCCCUCCCACUUCUCUCUCUACGAAAACAUUUGCAAGUUUCCAAAAAAGCCACCGAGCCGAGCGGCGCGGGGCUGGCGGCUCCCCUGGGUUCCGAGGAGGCGCCGCCGACUGACACCGAGACAGAGCAGCCUGGCUGCCCCGGUCAGGCCCGGAGUCGCUCCUCCCCGACUCCCGCCACUUCCCCUCGGCGCGGGUCCCCAGCCCCGACUUACUCUGAGCGCGCCGCCGCGGCCCCCGCCUUGCCAUGGAUGUCGGGGCCCCCCCGACAGCCUCCCCAAGCCAGCGCCCCGUCUGCGGCCCCGGGGGGACUUCAUGGAGCUCUCAGGAUCCCCACCCCGGCCGGCCUGGCCUCCAGCGCCCCCCGCCCGGCCGCCGCUCGGAGCCACCGCCCGCCGCGCGCGUCCCUCGCCUCGGCGUCUGCCUCUCCCCUCCCCCCGGCCGGGCGCCUCUUCCCUCCCCCGAGCCCUCCCGGGCCUCUCCCGCCCUCACCCCCUCCGCCGCCGCCGACGCGGGAGUGUGGAGAGGCCAAGAGGAGCCUGCCGCCCCCUGCCCCGGGACAUUGCGCUAGAGGCCGAGGCCCGGGGUCGUAUGGCGGCGGGAUGUGAGUGCUGGGGACGGGGCGGGGGCAGCGGUGACAGCAAGACCCCAGCAGGGAACCGGGACGCCGCCGCUACAUUCUCUUCUGGAAAGCACGGGCUUUUCUUCUUUUUUUCUGAUCAUCCGGCCUCCGCUGGCUAA